rnacentral:rRNA from 1 species
AUUGAACGCUGGCGGCAGGCCUAACACAUGCAAGUCGAACGAGGGGCGGACGGGUGAGUAAUGUCUGGGACACUGCCCGAUGGCGGGGUAUAACUACUGGAAACGGGAGCUAAUCCCGCAUACCAUCGGAUGUGCCCAGGUGGGCGUAGCUAGUAGGGGGGGUAACGGCUCACCUAGGCGACGACCCCUAUCUGGGUUGAGGGGAUGACCAGCCAAACUGGAACUGAGACACGGUCCAGACUCCUACGGGAGGCAGCAGUGGGGAAUAUUGCACAAUGGGCGCAAGCCUGAUGCAGCCAUGCCGCGUGUAUGAAGAAGGCCUUCGGGUUGUAAAGUACUUUCAUCGAGGAGGCGUUACUCGCAGAAGAAGCACCGGCUAACUCCGUGCCAGCAGCCGCGGUAAUAC